UCCCUCGUGGUCCAGUGGCUGAAACUCUAUGCUUCCAAUAUAGGGGGCUCAGGUUCGAUUCCUGGUCAGGGAA
rnacentral:tRNA from 1 species